GGGAGCCGUAUGACGCGAGAGUGUCACGUACGGUUCUGCGAGAGGUUCGGGGCGAAACUCCCCGGGCCUACUUACC
rnacentral:ncRNA from 2 species